GUUGGUGGCCCUGCCCAAUUUAGCAUAGGAGUGCAGUAGGUGGGUUGGUGGGUAGACCUCAGGCUCUGGUGUCCCUCCUCACAGGCCAGCUCCCGACGCGUCCUGGAAUACUAUUUCCACGCCGUUGUGGCUGCCAUAGAGCAGGUGGCUAGCGAGGACAGCCCCAGCCGGCUGGGACACCUGGAGAAGAUGGAGGAGAUUUACUGCUCGCUGCUAGGGCCUGCGACCACAAGAAGGCACUGUGUCGGUAAGCGGGGACCUGCUGGGGACUUGCCUAGAGAGACUGCCAUCCGCAGGGGAGGGCGCCAAAGAGCUAGGCUAGACAGAAUGAGGUUUCCAGAGGAGCCUGAGGACUGAGAGGAGAGCUAAGGGAUUUGGCGGACCAGGGAGUAAGCAAGAGGUUAAUACAGUCAUGAUAGCCCACAGCUGCAAAGCUCCGGCUUUAUCCCAUUAAUGCGCUAAACAUUUAGCACAUAUUCAAAUCUAUGCCGUGUGUCAAAUCAAAUAAUUCGUAAAGUUAGGAAGUAGAAAUGAUUAUUGCCCCCAUUUUACAGAGGAGAUUUAGAGACUGAUUUAGAAAGAGAUUAAAAAUCUUGCAGACUGGCCCUCAGCUGGUGAGUGGCAGAGCCAGUAUUUGAAUCUUGUUCUGGGCAUGGUAAUCGACAGAUGUGAUUCCCAGGACACCUUCACAGAGGGUGGAAAGAAGCCCGUGCUGGCAUUAUUUGUCUCUUGGGUCGAUUUGUACUCUGAGACCUCCUUUCUGUUGGAAUGUUGAUAGAGACGUGCCACGCCCCAACAGGAGCAAGUGUCACGAGACGAGUGGGCGUCAACAAUCCAGAAUGUGUGUGUCCUGCCAGCAGUGGGAUGAUUCUAAUGUGUGUCUUGUUUGCACAGUCACUCAAAGCAGCCAUGGAAUAUGUCAGCCUGAGCGUGUCAGAACGUAGGGUCACUGACUGCACCCAUAGAUACAGGGUGCAGGGGAAAUGAACUAGAAACCACAGCAGAGAUCAGUGCACCAAGCACACUAAAGCUUGAAUGUGGCAGCCCAGGCUGGACAAAGUGAGCAGGAUAGCCCUGUUUAGACUCCACCCUCUCAGUCUCCCUGGUCUUUUGCCUACAAGCCUCCUCAGUCCCCACAGUCUGCUCCUUUCUUCAGGUGACCUUCUGCAAGACCGCCUGCCAAGCAUCCCCCUGCCCAGCCCCUACAUCACCUUCCACCUCUGGACCGACCAGGAGCAGCUCUGUACGUGCUGGAGCCUCUGAGCUCCUAUAGAAAUGCCUGAGGACCGUGGUGUAUGUCUGCGUGUGUUCACGUGUCUGUGCUCCUGUCUGUGUUCAGGUUUUGUCCUAUGUGUUGGUCCACGUGUCUGGACAAAGUCGCAAAUCUUCUCCGGAGCAGACAGCUCCCUCUACUGUUGUGUCCUACCCCAGUUCCCUCAGCUCUUCUAGCGAGUGAGGACAAGGACUCCAACUGUGGUAGAAAGGAUUAAGCUGGAGUACUGGGUUCAAGUCACUUCCUUUUGCAUGGCGGGUCACGGUAGAUGCCUGUCUCUCUGAGCCUAAAAGUAAACUGGAAACCCUGCAAGUCGUCCCUGGAGCUGGUGGCCUGCUAUCUGUGUCCCAGAGCAAGCUACAGGAAGUGGGGUGUUGGAAGGGACCCAAGGUCAGCUAAAUGUGGGAGGUGCUGGGUUAAGCACCAUCUUCUCUAGUACUGGAGUUCUCAGGGAUUUUAAUAUGUUUACUGAUUGGCUGGGUGUGGUGGUGCACACCUUUAAUCUCUAUAUUCAGGAGGCUGUGACAGGCAGAUCUCCGGGAGUUCAAGGCCAUCCUGAGCUACGUGGAGAAUUCCAGGAUUGCCAGGAUCCUACAUAGUGAUCCUAUCUC
rnacentral:lncRNA from 1 species